CCUACGGGGGGCAGCAGUGGGGAAUAUUGCACAAUGGGCGCAAGCCUGAUGCAGCCAUGCCGCGUGUAUGAAGAAGGCCUUCGGGUUGUAAAGUACUUUCAGUCGGGAGGAAGGUGGUGAGCUUAAUACGCUCAUCAAUUGACGUUACCGACAGAAGAAGCACCGGCUAACUCCGUGCCAGCAGCCGCGGUAAUACGGAGGGUGCAAGCGUUAAUAGGAAUUACUGGGCGUAAAGCGCACGCAGGCGGUUGAUUGAGUCAGAUGUGAAAUCCCCGGGCUUAACCCGGGAAUUGCAUCUGAUACUGGUCAGCUAGAGUCUUGUAGAGGGGGGUAGAAUUCCAUGUGUAGCGGUGAAAUGCGUAGAGAUCUGAAGGAAUACCAGUGGCGAAGGCGGCCCCCUGGACAAAGACUGACGCUCAGAUGCGAAAGCGUGGGGAGCAAACAGGAUUAGAUACCCGCGUAGUC
rnacentral:rRNA from 1 species